rnacentral:rRNA from 1 species
UACGUAGGGUGCGAGCGUUGUCCGGAAUUACUGGGCGUAAAGCGCACGUAGGCGGAUUGCUAAGUCAGGGGUGAAAUCCUGGAGCUCAACUCCAGAACUGCCCUUGAUACUGGCGGUCUCGAGUCCGGGAGAGGUGAGUGGAACUGCGAGUGUAGAGGUGAAAUUCGUAGAUAUUCGCAAGAACACCAGUGGCGAAGGCGGCUCACUGGCCCGGUACUGACGCUGAGGUGCGAAAGCGUGGGGAGCAAACAGG